rnacentral:rRNA from 1 species
UACGAAGGGGGCUAGCGUUGCUCGGAAUCACUGGGCGUAAAGCGCACGUAGGCGGAUUGUUAAGUCAGGGGUGAAAUCCUGGAGCUCAACUCCAGAACUGCCUUUGAUACUGGCGAUCUUGAGUCCGGGAGAGGUGAGUGGAACUGCGAGUGUAGAGGUGAAAUUCGUAGAUAUUCGCAAGAACACCAGUGGCGAAGGCGGCUCACUGGCCCGAUACUGACGCUGAGGUGCGAAAGCGUGGGGAGCAACAGG